UUACAAUACGUGGAUCACUGUUGAUAGAGGGCGAGGUUGGUCACAUUAUGUGUUCCUUUUCCCUGAGUGAAGCCAUUAACUUGACGUCUUCAAAUGUUACUUUUAUUUGGACUAAAGAUGACAAAACACUAAAAAAUACAUCAGCAUUGACAAUUUCACAUUCCUGUAAUGGACAAACAUGUGAUUCCCGUAUUUUUGUAUCGUAUGUUGACAUUCUUUCUGAAGGCACAUACACUUGCAAUGCCAGUUUGGAUCAAUUCGAUUUCAUCGGACAUGGAUCAGCAAAAGAAAAAAUAGAAAUGAAAGAAAAACCAUAUCUUGUCAUGAGACCUAUCACAGCUUCUGUUCAAACUGACGAAAAAGUUCUAAUUCGCUGCUAUGUUAGAAACAUCGAUAAGUGGUACCAUGAAUCAAACGAAUCUUUGGCAUGGUGCUUUGGCAAUGAAAGUAAAAUUAUUACACAAAAAGGUGACGAUUUUAACCAGUCCUUUGCAUUCACUGUGACGGGCAAUGUUGAGAUUCGAUGUGGAAUAAACAGCUGUUUACCCGGGAAUUCAACAUCGUCUCAUAUAACCAUGGUUCAAAAGGGAAAGGAUUUGUGUAAAGAGAUUGAAGACUGGCCCUCAAGUCCAGCGGGCCAAGAAGCAACCAUUCCUUGUCCUAAAGAAUAUAAUGGCAUACAGAAGAGAAAAUGCAAAGAAAAUGGAGUAUGGGGCGCCAUCAAUACAACCAACUGCACACAAGAGAAGCUAGAAAAAGUAGAAAAAGCAAUUGAAGGAAUUAAAGAUAUUUCUGAAUCAAUUGUGCAGCAAUCACUUACUGCGAUAGCAGAUGUCGUCAAUUCGACCGAUGACAACAAUAACGUAGCACAUGUUAAUAUAAAACAGAGCGUCUUGCAUUAUAUCUGCAAUAUCCAGCAAAAAUAUAACAUUUGAAAAUAAAGCAGCUGCAGAGCAAGUAACUGAUAAAUUUGUUGAUGUUGUCAGUCAACUUUUAAAUGUGAAUAAAACCAAAGUAAAUCAAGCAAGUGAUGAAAAGAACUUGAAAAGUAAGAUCAUCUUAUCCGUGGACGGAUUUGCCAAAUCUGUGGCCAAGACACUAAAUACGAACGAGGCGGUGACUGUUGAAAAGAAAAACCUGUAUCUAACUAUAGAAAAUGUUACGAAGCAAGACAUAGUAUUUCCCAAAAAUGCAUCCGUAGCCCAAAGCACCAAAUUUCAAUUACCAGAAAAGGCUCUUUCCAAGCAAGGUAGUACUGUUGCGUUUACCGCUGUUAAAUAUGAUGAUUUUGGAUCUGAUUUUGAGUUUGAGCACACACCAGGAAA